rnacentral:sRNA from 1 species
GCCGGGCACAGUGGCACACGCCUGUAAUCUCAGCCUCUGGGAGGUGGAGACAGGAGGAUCGUGAGUUCAAAGCCAGCCUCAGCAAAAGGGAGGCACUGAGCAACUCAGUGAGACCCUGUCUCUA